rnacentral:rRNA from 1 species
UAGCGUAGGGGGCUAGCGUUGUCCGGAUUUAUUGGGCGUAAAGAGCGUGUAGGCGGCCUAGGUAGGUCCGCUGUGAAAGUCCGACGGCUCAACCUCGGGAAUGUCGGCGGAAACCCUCUGGCUAGAGUCCGGAAGAGGAGAGGUGGAAUUCCCGGGUGUAGCGGAUGAAAUGCGCAGAUAUCGGGAAGAACACCCGUGGCGAAGGCGGCGUCUCUGGAACGGUGACUCGACGGCUGAGGAGCGAAAGCGUGGGGAGCGAACAGG